rnacentral:lncRNA from 1 species
AAAAAUAUAGCAAAUAGAUUGACUCUGGCAGCACCUGUGUUCAUUGGCAUACUGAUAAAAUGAUUACAAUCAGAUUGAAUGUAAGAUCCUACAGGCAGAGGCAGUUUUUAAUGGUCCAGCUCUCCACCUCUGAAAGGUUCAUUUCAGCCCAUUUAUAAAGGAUUACAUGGGAAAGAGCCUGGAAGCCCUUCAGCUUCCCUCAGCCUUUCCUCAGAUAAAUGUUGAAGCAACUUUCAAAUUCUCUUCAAGAUAUACUGAUUUCAUUUAUUUGGUUUUUUGUUUAUUUAAGUUUUCUUUUCUGGUGUACUAGAGAACUGAGUCUCAAAUUUCUCUGACACUUUGAGUUCUCCUACAUUUAGUGGUUUCUUGCAUCAUAUGGUGAUACUUUCUAAUUUAGAAAAAUUUUAAAUGGAAAGAACCUCUCCAAAGCUGUCAAACUCAGACCCUUAAAUUAUCUGAGAUGGUUAGUCAAAAAGUGCCAUUCUCAGAGGAUAAAGACCUCGGUCAAUUAAUACAUUUUGAGGAGGAAAUAUAGAUGGUAGCUAAACACUGGGAGUUGGGCAAUUAGGAUUAGAAGAAAUUUUUCCUCAUUAUGUGCAGUGCUAUUUACUUUAUAUACAUUUUAAAAAUCCUAUAUUAAAUAAUUAAAGAGCAACUGAGAAGCAGUUAGGUCAAGAGAUAUAUCAGCAGAAGUGGUUAUUCUUUGGAAGUUGUGGUAGAGAGAAUAGUAGUUGCCCAAAGAUGUCCUCAUCCCCAUCUCCAUCUGUGAAUAUAUUACUUUCCAUGAUGAAAGGAACAUUGCAGGUAUAGUUGAAGUUGAGGGCUUUGAGAUGGGGAGAUUAUCCUGGAUUAUCUGCAUGGAUCCAAUUUAAACACAUGAGUCCUUAACAUGGAAACCUUUCUGCCUGGAUCAGAAAGAGCUGUGACAAUAGAGGAAGGGUCAGAGAGAUGUUAUUUUGCUAGUUUUAAAGAAAGAAUAAGAAUAAGAAUAAGGCUAGGACCAGGGAAUGCAAGUAACCUCUAAAACCUGACAAAGGCAAGAAAAUGAUUUCUCCCCUAGAGUUUCCAGAAAGGAACCCAGUUUUUCAGACACCGGUGAGACCUUGUUGGAUUGCUAACUUCUAGAACUGUAAGGUUAUAAAUGUGUACUGUUUAAGCUACUGGAUUUGUGGCAGAUUGUUAGAAUAGCAAUAAAAAAAAAACGAAUACAAAAGGAUUAAUUUUUAAUAAGUUUUACUAUAACUGAAAAUCUCUCAUAUGUACAAAUAUUCUAUUUUCAUUGAGGUAAAAUACAUUCUUGUGCAGGUGGCCAUGGAGAUACCAUUUACUUAAAAUUUUUUUUAAAUUUAUGUUUUGUUGUAUUUCUGAUUCUAGAAUAAUUUCCACUCAAUAUAGAAAUUCUUGAAAAUAAAAUAUAAAUAAAAGAAAAUAUAAUGACUUAAAACUUCAACAUUCUUUGUCACUACUAUCAUCAUUUUGUUAUAAUCCUAUUUAAACUCUUUCCAAGUAUGUGAGUAUAUAUAUAUGUACAUAUACAAGUCCAUUUGUAUAUGUACAAAUUUUAUACUUUUAUUUAAAAUUUUAUACAUUUUUAUAUGUAUGUAUAUGUGCAUGUUUUAUGUGUGUAUGAAUGAUCUAUAUAGUUACCAAGCUAGAAACUUGGCAGUCAUCCUAGACAUCUCUUUUCACUCUCAUUCCUCAUUUCCCAUCCACUAUCAACCUCUGCCAGUGUUAUUGUUUUAAAACAUUAAAUCUGUCCAUUUCUUUCCUUAACUAUUACUGCUACCCUUAUCUAAGCCACCAUCAUAGUCUGCCUGGACUGUAUUAUUAGCCUCAUGUAUUAUCUCAUUCUGGCUCUCAAAAGCAUGUCUUCACAUGGAUCUAGAGUGAUAUUUAUAAAAUACAUAUUAAAUAUAAUCACGAGUGAAAUAUUUCAGUGAUUUUCCAUUGAUCUUAGGAGCUGACCAAAAUAUCCUCAUUUUGACCAAAAGUGAUUUGCAUCAUGUGCCUUCUUCCUACUUCUCCAUUGUUUUCUUGUGUAGAUGAAUGCUUUGGGGAAAAUUUAAAGAAGGCUCAAAAUUUUGUUCUCAAUCUCCUCAAUAGUGUGAGGAGAAAUGCAAGAAAAGAUUCCUAUGAAUUAAUUUUGAGGAUAUUUUUGCCAUAAAUAUUCCUGCUGAAAAUUGAGGUUCACAUGGUUUGUAUUUCUUCUUUUAAACUAAAUAUUGUAUGGUAUUUUUUCUAUGUCAUUAGAAAUAUCUUCAGAUUUAGGAGAGGAGAGUAGGAUAGACUUUAUAGGUGGUAUGGUCCAAAGGAUCCCCCAUAUGAGAGAGUAAAUAAUGAGAUCUAUAGAUCUUGUCAAAACAAACCCCAGGAUUCUGCAGUUGCUGGGGUCCAUGUAAGCAUUUCACCUACUGUUCCAUGAAAUUGUCUCCUCUGCAUGCCUCAAUAAAGUGAAGGAAAAUAAGCUGAUGUUCAUUUAGAGCUGGUGCCAUGCCAAGCAUUGUGACGUUUACAGACUAUCUGAAGUACAUAGGAAAAGUCAGGAAGCCCUAGUUUCAGUCAUCCUGCAAAAGAGGAAGAGGAGUCCUCAUUCAGGCAUUCCUCUGAACAGAAAAAGUCAUGGGGAAGUCAAGGAACUAGGGGAAGAUUACUAGGGCAAACGUCCACAUUCCACCCAGAAAACUCGGUGCCUGUCUGCUUUGGAAACAGAUAGAAUGAGAAGCAAAUGAUGAUGAACAAAGAACAAAUUGCUCAGCGUCAUAUACUGAUGGUUUUCAGCUCAUUGGCUAAAAACACAUUAAUGUGGUAGGUAUGACCCUUAUUAUUUUCAUGUAUUAAUUGGUUUGUGCCAUCUUGUUCAGAAAGAUUUUAAAGUAGACUCUAGGCUGUGUAAAAUACAAUGAGAUAACAUUUAUUGGAAGUAGGUGAAAAAUUAAAAAGGAAAGUUUCAGAGGUCACAAAUUAUAAUGAAGAACAAAGUAGGGAAAACUGAUGCCUUAGGAUAGUUAUAGAUUCUUAAGCACCAAUUCUGCUAAUGUAUCAUCUGCAGGUGGUGAUGAUUUAAGCCCUAAUAAAGAUAGGGUAGUAGGGCUUAGCCAGUAGAUAACAUUUCUGUGUUUUGGGAAACUCCCAGGUAGACAGGUUCCCAUUCUGUUUUCUCCUCAAGAAUCUCCCACCAUCUCUUUUAAGUAUUCAUCAUACUCAUGGUUACCUGUGUAGUGUCUAUUUUUAGUGUUUAACUAUAAGCUCCAUAAAAACUUUAUAUGGAAGUUUUAGUACUGUUUUCUAUCACCUAACACAGAGACUAGCAUCUAGUAAAGUUAAUGAAUAUUAGAUCAAGGCAAAAGAAACUAGAAAGAAACAUGGAGAGAGUUAAAGUUGAUUCACUCAGAACAGAGGAAAAAAUUUCUUUCUUAAAAUGCCACCUCGUAGAGGUAUAACAUGCAGUCAUAUAGAUGGUGUCAUGAUAUGUUUAAAUAAUCUUCUAUUGUUGGGCAUCUUGUUUUUUUCCAAUAGCACUCUGCUGAACAUCCUCAUCAUAAAUCUUUACCACUGUCAUACUUAGACUGUAUUUCUAAAGUGAAAUCAUUGUUUUGAAGGAUGUAAACUAUUAGAAGCGAAGUAUUUCCUGUUCUCCAAGGAGUAACUGCCUUAUAGUACUGUUCUAGCUGGAUGUUUGUAUCCCUCUGUCUUUUGUCAUUUAGUAUCCACGCUGAGGAAUCAUUUUAAACUUGUGACUUCUCAGGAACUAUUGCAUAUUUUAAAAGACACUGUGCACUAACUCUCCCCAGUUUUGUGCCCACCAGCAUGACACAAAUGUAAUAGGCAGAAUGACGCCCCUAAGAUAUCCAUGUCCUAAUCCCCAAAAAUCUGUGACUACAUUAUAUUGCAUUGCAGGGGGGAGUUAAGGUUAUGGAUGGAAUUAACAUUGAUAAUUAGCUGACUUUAAAAUGAAAGAGAUUAUCCUAGAUAUUUAGGUGAGCCUGAUAUAAUCACAAAGGCCCUUAAAUGUGGAAGAGAGAUGCAGAAGAGUCCUGUGCCAGAGCAAUGGGAUAUAAGAAAGACUCAAGUGGCCAUUACUGGCUUUGAAGAUAGAAGGGGACCAGGAGCCAAGAAAUGCAAGCAGGCUCUCAAAGCU